GACGAACGCUGGCGGCGUGCCUAAUACAUGCAAGUAGAACGCACAGGAUGCACCGUAGUUUACUACACCGUAUUCUGUGAGUUGCGAACGGGUGAGUAACGCGUAGGUAACCUGCCUGGUAGCGGGGGAUAACUAUUGGAAACGAUAGCUAAUACCGUAUAAGAACAUUUACUGCAUGGUAGAUGUUUAAAAGGUGCAAGAGCAUCACUACCAGAUGGACCUGCGUUGUAUUAGCUAGUUGGUGAGGUAACGGCUCACCAAGGCAACGAUACAUAGCCGACCUGAGAGGGUGAUCGGCCACACUGGGACUGAGACACGGCCCAGACUCCUACGGGAGGCAGCAGUAGGGAAUCUUCGGCAAUGGGGGGAACCCUGACUGAGCAACGCCGCGUGAGUGAAGAAGGUUUUCGGAUCGUAAAGCUCUGUUGUUAAGGAAGAACGUGUGUGAGAGUGGAAAGUUCACACAGUGACGGUACUUAACCAGAAAGGGACGGCUAACUACGUGCCAGCAGCCGCGGUAAUACGUAGGUCCCGAGCGUUGUCCGGAUUUAUUGGGCGUAAAGCGAGCGCAGGCGGUUAGAUAAGUCUGAAGUGAAAGGCAGUGGCUCAACCAUUGUAGGCUUUGGAAACUGUUUAACUUGAGUGCAGAAGGGGAGAGUGGAAUUCCAUGUGUAGCGGUGAAAUGCGUAGAUAUAUGGAGGAACACCGGUGGCGAAAGCGGCUCUCUGGUCUGUAACUGACGCUGAGGCUCGAAAGCGUGGGGAGCGAACAGG
rnacentral:rRNA from 1 species